rnacentral:lncRNA from 1 species
UAAGACAUCCAACAGCACAGUUUUGAGAGCUGUCAUCUUUAUGAGUUGCGGAGACAUUGAUCAUGCUCUGCUCCACUCCCGCCCGUUCUGCAGCCCCGCAGCUCCUCUGACCUGGAAGGUUCCAGGGCCGCCAGGCUGCUGUUCCCGCCGCGGCGCUGCUGACUCUCCCAGGACGCCCCGCCUGGCACCUGUAGCUUUGGGGGUUCACGGGUCCCGCGAGACCCCGGCCGUGUGCUCUGCAGGCAAGUCUGCACCACGCGACUCCACACAGUGCAGACCCUAGGCCGGAAACGCGUUCUUAACACUUUAGGCUCUGACUAUUUAGCCUCAAUUCCUUAGGCUCACACACAUUGCAUCUCAGUAUCCCUGCUGGUCACUCCUCUAAACUCGCCCACUCCACACCCUUCCUCUACACCCAGCCAAUGUGUAACAUCCUCCCAUCCUCUGCUUCCGGGUGAGUGGCUCCGCCCCACGGAAAUCAGUCCCUCCCACUCGGUCUCAGGCUUCCUCCCACAGAUCCAGCUGUAAGGCUGACCUGGCCUUGAUCUGCACGGUCUUCCCACCUGCUUGUUGCGAGCCUGGACCAGAACUGGAUCUGAUAUGACGCAGCAUCCCGGG